rnacentral:rRNA from 1 species
GACGUAGGGCGCGAGCGUUGUCCGGAUUUAUUGGGCGUAAAGAGCUCGUAGGCGGCUUGUCGCGUCGUUCGUGAAAACCCGGGGCUCAACUCCGGGCUUGCGGGCGAUACGGGCAGGCUAGAGUUCGGUAGGGGAGACUGGAAUUCCUGGUGUAGCGGUGAAAUGCGCAGAUAUCAGGAGGAACACCGGUGGCGAAGGCGGGUCUCUGGGCCGAUACUGACGCUGAGGAGCGAAAGCAUGGGGAGCGAACAGG